rnacentral:lncRNA from 1 species
CAAGAUUUUCAUUUAUUUCUUUUUAAAGUUUGGUCAUUUUCUUUUGUACUGCAAUAAGAAGUAGUUUUGGGGACCAGAUAAUACGAGUUCGUAUCCUGCUUCUUCCAGUUACUGAUUAAAAGACUUUGGGCAAAUCAUUUAAUUUCUCUGGGUUUUAGUUUGCUCAUCUGUAAAAUGUCAAAUGGAAUAACAAUAUCUUCUUUGAGAUGGCACACAGCAGAAACUUAAUUAUUAUUAUUAAUCCAUGCACAGAAAUAUAAUGAUAACAUUGCUUGAGAAAAAAUCAUCUCAGAGAAAGCAGUAAUAACUAUUAUUAUUUUUGUAAAUAGCAUUCAGAAUCUCCACCUAGCCCAAUUCUCAUACUUUUCACCAAAAUACUUCUGGGAACAGAAGAGGGGAAAUUAUCCUGAGGGUGGGAGUCUAGGGGAGGAUGGUGACCCACAGUGGCCUCCUGCAAAGGAGAAAUCAAUUUGUCUAAACUUACCAAGUUUUUGCUUUCCAGUGUAUGCUAAAUUCAGGCUAUUUUAAUAUGAAGAUGUUUUGAAUUACCUAUCAGUUAAAUUACUUUCAGCCCUCUUCUCUCUACUUGACAUGCCAGUAGGAAAUGGCUGGUUUAUCCUGGGGCUUCAUGUGGGUCCACCCAUCCUAUGCAUCCCUCACAGCUGCCCAUUGGGGGGAUUCUGGGCCCCCACUUUGAGAAACACAACCUAAGAGCAUUCUGAGUGGCAGUGGGCUUGGAAGUGAUGCCCUACUCAAUGCCGUGUCACAAAGGGGUGGCCUCCCAAGACACCCACAGCACCAGAGUGAGAACAGGGGCUGCAUGAAAACAGAUUCUGCUGAAUUGCUACCUGGACAUUUAAAAAGAGCUUCCUUAGAGGAUUCCUGACUUAGCUCUAGCAAUCUUAACCAUCACAUGGGCUAAAUGAACCCUGGAUCAUUUGUUUGCCCUUUGGCAGCUUCUGAGUUCAGAUGCCUUCCACAGGCUAUAAACUCAAAGACAACUCAUAGGUUUAAAUUGCAUCUCGAGCUGUCAGCAACUGGGAUGGACCAUCCGAGAGAGAGAGAGAGGAGAAUCAGAGUCACCUGAGAGUUGGAGAGACCUGCAGAGCUGUUGACGAACUCCUGGGUUAGGAGGCAAGAGGAACGUUUGGUGAUUCAGAGUGUGGGGGUCAGAAUGCCUGUGGCAGAACCUGCUGCACCACUCCACACCACAGGCCCUCUGGAAAGUGCCGUGACCUCUGAGCCCAACUUUAUUCCUCUGUAAAAUGGAGGCAAAGGAAGUAUUCUCUUCACAGGGUUGAGUGAGUAUACAUGAAGCACUUAACACAGGGCCUGAUAUACAAUGAGUGCUCAAUAAAUUGUACCUUAUGAUUGG